AUCUUUUGGUCUGAUGCCUGAAAACACAAGCAUAUUUGAAUCUCCUCCUAUCAAUUUAAUAUCUGAUAUAUCCUCUAUCCAAGGACAAUAUAUUAAAUGGAUUUUUGGAGCAGGAAGAUGAAAGAGGAACUUGCUCCACCCACUCCAUGCAUGGACCUGGUAUUGUAGUACCUCCAGGCACAUGCACCCGCC